rnacentral:rRNA from 1 species
UACGUAGGGGGCAAGCGUUGUCCGGAAUCAUUGGGCGUAAAGAGCGUGUAGGCGGCCCGGUAAGUCCGCUGUGAAAGUCGAGGGCUCAACCCUCGAAUGCCGACGGAUACUGCCGGGCUAGAGUACGGAAGAGGCGAGUGGAAUUCCUGGUGUAGCGGUGGAAUGCGCAGAUAUCAGGAGGAACACCUAUAGCGAAGGCAGCUCGCUGGGACGUUACUGACGCUGAGGCGCGAAAGCGUGGGGAGCGAACAGG